rnacentral:tRNA from 1 species
GGCCCGUUAGCUCAGUUGGUUAGAGCGUCGUGCUAAUAACGCGAAGGUCGUGGGUUCGAUCCCCUCACGGGCCA